rnacentral:rRNA from 1 species
UACGAAGGGUGCUCGCGUUGUUCGGAAUCACUGGGCGUAAAGCGCGCGUAGGCGGCUUUGCAAGUCAGGGGGGAAAUGCCAAGGCUCAACCUUGGAACUGCCUUUGAAACUGCAAAGCUAGAGUGUCGGAGGGGAUAGCGGAAUUCCUAAUGUAGAGGUGAAAUUCGUAGAUAUUAGGAGGAACACCGGUGGCGAAGGCGGCUAUCUGGACGACAACUGACGCUUAGGCGCGAAAGCGCGGGGAUCAAACAGG